rnacentral:tRNA from 1 species
GCCCAGAUGGCGGAAUUGGUAGACGCGCUAGUUUCAGGUACUAGUGCCGAGAGGCGUGGAGGUUCGAGUCCUCUUCUGGGCACCA